GAUAGAUGCAGAGAUUCACAGCCAACCACCAGGCUGAGCUCCAGGAGUCCAGGCUGGAUAAUUUAAAGUUAAGAAAAGCUGGCUAGCAACAAGCCAAGAUAAGGGCAGAUAAACAUGUGAGAAGCUGAGCGACUCAUCCAGCAGUCAACAUGUGUGAAAUCAUCAUGAAGACAAGUUCUAGAGUCUUCUCACACCCUGAAAGCUGGCUUUAUGAUGUGCAAGCAGUGUCCUGCUUAUCACUGAGUCACACUAACUGGUCAUGAAUUGGACUCCAAGUAAACUCAC